rnacentral:misc_RNA from 1 species
UAGAGUUUUAAACUCCUAAACCCAUGUGAAUAUACCUCUGUUGCCUCGGUGGACUAUUUGGUGAUUAUAUCCUAGUUACCCUAUAGGCCACCGAUGGACCAUUAAACUCUGUUUUUUUAAUAUCUCUGAGUCAACUAUAAAUAAGUUA